rnacentral:rRNA from 1 species
CAGAGGUGUCAAACGUUGUCCGGAAUUACUGGGCGUAAAGGGCGCGUAGGCGGUCAGGUAAGUCAGAUGUGAAAUCACUGGGCUCAACCCAGUAAUUGCAUUUGAAACUGCCAGACUUGAGUUGGGUAGAGGAGGGCGGAAUUCCUGGUGUAGCGGUGAAAUGCGUAGAUAUCAGGAGGAACACCUGUGGCGAAGGCGGCUCUCUGGUCCCAUACUGACGCUGAGGCGCGAAAGCAAGGGUAGCAAACAGGAUUAGAUACCCUGGUAGUCCUUGCUGUAAACGAUGAGUACUAGGUGUUGGAGGUAUUGACCCCUUCAGUGCCGAAGCUAACGCAUUAAGUACUCCGCCUGGGAACUACGGUCGCAAGACUG